CCUACGGGGGGCUGCAGUGAGGAAUAUUGCGCAAUGGGGGAAACCCUGACGCAGCGACGCCGCGUGAGUGAGGAAGGCCUUCGGGUCGUAAAGCUCUGUCAAAGGGAAAGAAGUGCAUGAUGGCUAAUACCUGUCAUGUUUGACGGUACCCUUAAAGGAAGCACCGGCUAACUCCGUGCCAGCAGCCGCGGUAAUACGGAGGGUGCAAGCGUUGUUCGGAAUCACUGGGCGUAAAGGGCGCGUAGGCGGUUUGAUAAGUCAGAUGUGAAAGCCCA
rnacentral:rRNA from 1 species